UGCAGUCGAGGGGUAGGGGCUUUCGGGCCUUGAGACCGGCGCACGGGUGCGUAACGCGUAUGCAAUCUGCCUUUCACAGAGGGAUAGCCCAGAGAAAUUUGGAUUAAUACCUCAUAGCAUUACAGGAUGGCAUCAUCCUGCAAUUAAAGUCACAACGGUGAAAGAUGAGCAUGCGUCCCAUUAGCUAGUUGGUAAGGUAACGGCUUACCAAGGCGACGAUGGGUAGGGGUCCUGAGAGGGAGAUCCCCCACACUGGUACUGAGACACGGACCAGACUCCUACGGGAGGCAGCAGUGAGGAAUAUUGGUCAAUGGACGCAAGUCUGAACCAGCCAUGCCGCGUGCAGGAUGACGGUCCUAUGGAUUGUAAACUGCUUUUGCACAGGAAGAAACACUCCGACGUGUCGGAGCUUGACGGUACUGUGAGAAUAAGGAUCGGCUAACUCCGUGCCAGCAGCCGCGGUAAUACGGAGGAUCCAAGCGUUAUCCGGAAUCAUUGGGUUUAAAGGGUCCGUAGGCGGUCUUGUAAGUCAGUGGUGAAAGCCCAUCGCUCAACGGUGGAACGGCCAUUGAUACUGCAGGACUUGAAUUAUUGGGAAGUAACUAGAAUAUGUAGUGUAGCGGUGAAAUGCUUAGAGAUUACAUGGAAUACCAAUUGCGAAGGCAGGUUACUACCAAUUUAUUGACGCUGAUGGACGAAAGCGUGGGUAGCGAACAGGAUUAGAUACCCUGGUAGUCCACGCCGUAAACGAUGGAUACUAGCUGUUGGGAGCAAUCUCAGUGGCUAAGCGAAAGUGAUAAGUAUCCCACCUGGGGAGUACGAACGCAAGUUUGAAAC
rnacentral:rRNA from 1 species